rnacentral:rRNA from 1 species
GACGAACGCUGGCGGCGUGCCUAAUACAUGCAAGUUGAGCGCUGAAGGUUGGUACUUGUACCAACUGGAUGAGCAGCGAACGGGUGAGUAACGCGUGGGGAAUCUGCCUUUGAGCGGGGGACAACAUUUGGAAACGAAUGCUAAUACCGCAUAAAAACUUUAAACACAAGUUUUAAGUUUGAAAGAUGCAAUUGCAUCACUCAAAGAUGAUCCCGCGUUGUAUUAGCUAGUUGGUGAGGUAAAGGCUCACCAAGGCGAUGAUACAUAGCCGACCUGAGAGGGUGAUCGGCCACAUUGGGACUGAGACACGGCCCAAACUCCUACGGGAGGCAGCAGUAGGGAAUCUUCGGCAAUGGACGAAAGUCUGACCGAGCAACGCCGCGUGAGUGAAGAAGGGUUUCGGAUCGUAAAACUCUGUUGGUAGAGAAGAACGUUGGUGAGAGUGGAAAGCUCAUCAAGUGACGGUAACUACCCAGAAAGGGACGGCUAACUACGUC